rnacentral:rRNA from 1 species
UACGUAGGGUGCGAGCGUUGUCCGGAAUUACUUGGGCGUAAAGAGCUCGUAGGUGGUUUGUCGCGUUGUCCGUGAAAACUCACAACUCAAUUGUGGGCGUGCGGGCGAUACGGGCAGACUGGAGUACUGCAGGGGAGACUGGAAUUCCUGGUGUAGCGGUGGAAUGCGCAGAUAUCAGGAGGAACACCGGUGGCGAAGGCGGAUCUCUGGGCCUUACCUGACGCUGGAGGCGCGAAAGCUAGGGGAGCGAACAGGA